rnacentral:rRNA from 1 species
UACGUAGGGGGCGAGCGUUGUCCGGAUUCAUUGGGCGUAAAGGGCGCGCAGGCGGCCCGGUAAGUCGGAUGUGAAAACUCGGGGCUCAACCCCGAGCGUGCACCCGAUACUGCCGGGCUUGAGGCAGGUAGGGGAGAUCGGAAUUCCUGGUGUAGCGGUGAAAUGCGCAGAUAUCAGGAGGAACACCGGUGGCGAAGGCGGAUCUCUGGGCCUGUCCUGACGCUGAGGCGCGAAAGCUAGGGGAGCGAACAGG